CUCCCGCCCACCCCCCGCUCUCUCGUCCUCGUCCUCGCCGUCGCCGUCGCCGCGACGAACCCCCAAUCCUCUAGCCUUCCUAAUCGGACAAGUAGAAGCUUUGAGUCGACCGAAUCGAAGUGUUUGUACUUCAUGCUUCUUGAUCGCAUCCAGGUUCUUUUCCUCUUCGUUAGCCUAAUGCUGCUAUCGUCAUGGGCUUAGACCCAGGUUGUUCUUCAAGUCCACACCGGCAGGAUCCUUUCUUCUUAUUUUUCUGGACUAAGCUUGUAGUUUUUACUAAAGUAUGGAAACUGAUACGGUCAUUGAAGGAGAAAUCAUUCAGGCCAAAGAACUUGUUGUUGAGGAUGAUAUUGUUGAGGGGAAUAAUGAUAAGGUUGAACUUGAUGGUCAAUUACCGUUAGUGGCUGGAGGAGAUGAUGGCAUACCUCAUGUUGGGAUGGUGUUCAGCUCCUACGGGGAAGCUGUCACUUUCUAUAAACGAUAUGCAAUGCGGACAGGAUUUGGUGUUACUAUAAAAAAGUCAUCUUUUACAACUUAUGGACUUUGCCGACGGCUUGUACUUGUGUGCAGCAAAGAGGGCAAGGCACAAACGAAAGCAUGCUACCACCAAUCUAGGCCAUCAACGAAGACAAAUUGUGAAGCUGUGUUUAUAGCCAAGUUAUGGGGCGAUGGCUUGUUGCAUGUAGUUGAAGCUAAACUUGAACACAACCAUGAACUUAAUCCGUCAGAGGCUCACCUCUAUAGAUGCUAUAAGAAUAUGUCCAGUGGAGCAACUAAAGAUCUUGCUGUCCGAGCGGCAGGACGUGAGCACUUACCAUACGUUGGCAUGGAAUUUUUAAAUUCUAUCGAUGAUGGGCAAAUGAAGCUUGUGGAAGGUGACAAGGAUGCCAUCUCUCAGUUUUUUGCACGAAUGCAGAUCAAAUAUCCAAAUUUCUUUUACAUGAUGGAUCUUGACAUGGAAGGUCAAUUAAGGAAUGUGUUUUGGGCUGAUUCUAGGUCAAGAUCAGCAUAUCAUUGUUUUGGUGAUGUUAUUUACUUUGAUUCAACAUAUUUAAAAGACGAAUACAAGAUUCCUCUUGUUCUAUUUAUUGGAUCAAACAAUCACGGUCAACAGGUGUUAUUAGGCUCUGGUUUGCUUGCAGAUGAAACACCUAGAAACUACUUGUGGUUAUUUAAGGCCUGGCUGACAUGUAUGUUGGAGCACCCUCCAAAUGCUAUCAUCACUGAUCAAUCUAAAACUAUUCAAAAUGUGAUUGCUAAAAUAUUACCAGAUGUCCGCCAUCGCAUUUGUCUCUUUCAUAUAAGUAGAAGUAUUCCUGAGAAGUUAAGGGAACACACAGAAUGGAAGACAAUUCAUAAGGCCAUGACCGAUGUAAUAUACAGUUCGUUAAAAGUUGACGAGUUUGAAGAAGGCUGGAGAAACCUGACUAAAACAUAUGGACUUGAGGCUAAUGAAUGGUUGAACUCCUUAUAUGAAAAUCGGAAACUAUGGGCACCUGUUUAUAUGAAGGAUAUGUUUUGGGCGGGGUUGUCCACUACACUCGAUGAAAAGGGUGUAAGUCCUUUUUUUGAAGGGUUCAUUUAUCCUGAAACUUCUUUGCAGCAAUUUUUAGAAAACUAUGACAUGUUUCUGCGAACGAAAUAUGAGUUGGAAGCAAAAGCAGAUUUUGAUUCAUUCCACAAGAGUCACAUUACAGUAUCAGAUUCUCCUAUGGAACAACAGCUUUCUGAAAUAUAUACACUUAGCAUGUUUGAAACUUUUCAGAAUGAAUUAAAGGCAACUCUUUAUUGUCAGGUUUCACUUGUAAAGGUAGAUGGCUCUAUAACUACAUUUGAAGUACGGGAAUGCUCCUACACUGGAAGUGUCGAAAGAGACCAUGACAAGUAUUAUGAGGUGCUGUAUCAUGUUGAUGAAUUUCAGGUGCAAUGUAUAUGCGGCUUCUUCCAGUCCACAGGGAUCUUAUGCAGACAUGCAUUGUCAGUUCUAAAUCUGCAACAAGUGUACGAGGUUCCACCUCAAUACAUCCUUAGUCGUUGGAGAAAGGAUUUCAAACUUUUGAAUGCUUUGGAGCGUUCCUCAAAAGAUUUUUAUGGCAAUAGAUCAGUUGAGCAGUAUGAUUCUCUCUCUUUGUGUUGCCUUCAACUUGUUGAAGCUGGUAUGGUGUCCGAUGAGAAGUACCAACUUGCUUUGAAGUUAAUUAAAGAAGUGGAAAGAUCUCUGUUAGAUGAUAACAUAUUUCAGGAUUUGCACAGUAGGCUUGUGUCUUCUGUUACUAGGUUGACUGGAAGUGAUGAGAAUCAUGCAGCAUCACAGGCUGGCAUCAUUGAUGGUGACAAAUCUUCUAAUUCUGUUUCUGCUAAGCGAAGAGGACGCCCUCCCAAGAAAAGGAAGGAAUAUGAGGUGGAACUAGUUAAUGACUCAAAUGGCAAAAAGGACCCUUUGAGAACAUCAACUGAGGGGCACCAGAGCAAUUUGUUUCAAUCUUCAUCAACAGCUGCCCAAUUCAGCACUCAUGAUAGGGCACAUGGAAUGAUUGAUAUAAUGGAAGAAGUUAGCCAAAAUGACUUGGGAUUUGGUGCCCAUUAUGGACUACAAACAAACCGUCAGCAUCCUCUUGGCAAUCAGCUGCAGUCUGGUCCUACAUUGCAGAAUCAUUUUGGACAGCAAAAUCUUGGAGAUCCAUCGAGAAUGCAUUGGCAUAUCCAACAAAUGUUGCAGGUUAUAAAAAUUGAGAAACAUGUCUUAUUAGUAUUCUUUUCUUUGUAUGAUUUUGAUUAGUUAUAUCAGAAAUCUCCUGGAAAAUGAUUUGUUUCUUUACACAACCUACAUGCAGGAAAACCAAACACCAUUUGGUAGGAGGACCGGGUAGCGAGGCCAUUACUUUCCUCAGAUUAACCUCAGCAUCGCAAGCAGUUCUUCGACGAGGAACGUUGGCUUCUGUAUUGUCGAUGAUAUUUUUACAGAUCGAAACUGUCGGUACGGAUUGCAUGAUGUCAAGACAAAGUGCAGUCUGAUGAUGUUACUCGAGUAGAUUCGUGUACUCAAUGGAGAUCAUGAUGUCAUGUGGCCGAUCAAUUUUUUAAUGUAUAUAUAGGUUCAUUGUAUAAUCUGUUGGAAGCAUUCUUUUUUUUCUUUUUGCUUUGAUCGUUUUUCCCUUGCAUGGAAUCUGGUCGGAUAGGCUCCUGGGCUGGAUCAAUUGAUAAGAACAUGACUGUGGGAUAAUGACGGUAGUGGUCGGGGUUGAAACUUAGCAAGAUAUUUUAUCACCUCUUCAGAUUUUUGUUUAUAUACUUGGCGAUUUAGAUUCCUGUUGAA